rnacentral:rRNA from 1 species
UGGUUUUCGGACCAAGAGACCGGCGCACGGGUGCGUAACGCGUAUGCAAUCUACCUUUUACAGAGGGAUAGCCCAGAGAAAUUUGGAUUAAUACCUCAUAGCAUAGCAGCUUCGCAUGAAGCCACUAUUAAAGUCACAACGGUAAAAGAUGAGCAUGCGUCCCAUUAGCUAGUUGGUAAGGUAACGGCUUACCAAGGCUACGAUGGGUAGGGGUCCUGAGAGGGAGAUCCCCCACACUGGUACUGAGACACGGACCAGACUCCUACGGGAGGCAGCAGUGAGGAAUAUUGGACAAUGGGCGCAAGCCUGAUCCAGCCAUGCCGCGUGCAGGAUGACGGUCCUAUGGAUUGUAAACUGCUUUUAUACAGGAAGAAACACUCCGACGUGUCGGAGCUUGACGGUACUGUAAGAAUAAGGAUCGGCUAACUCCGUGCCAGCAGCCGCGGUAAUACGGAGGAUCCAAGCGUUAUCCGGAAUCAUUGGGUUUAAAGGGUCCGUAGGCGGUUUAAUAAGUCAGUGGUGAAAGCCCAUCGCUCAACGGUGGAACGGCCAUUGAUACUGUUAGACUUGAAUUAUUAGGAAGUAACUAGAAUAUGUAGUGUAGCGGUGAAAUGCUUAGAGAUUACAUGGAAUACCAAUUGCGAAGGCAGGUUACUACUAAUGGAUUGACGCUGAUGGACGAAAGCGUGGGUAGCGAACAGGAUUAGAUACCCUGGUAGUCCACGCCGUAAACGAUGGAUACUAGCUGUUGGAAGCAAUUUCAGUGGCUAAGCGAAAGUGAUAAGUAUCCCACCU